rnacentral:antisense_RNA from 1 species
GGAAGGGAGGAAGCGUAGAAGGUGCCGAUGCACUUUUCCUCUCUCCAGCCCUCCUGACUGCUCCAAGAAUUUCAUCGAACAAGACUCAAAGAGGCCCAGCUGCUCUGCGUUUUGAUUCUUCUCCCUCUCUCAGUCCACACUGACCUGGGAGGGGCUUCUCAAACACCACAUUUCCUAGCAUGCUGUGAGAAGAGGACUGUGAGCUAAGAAGGGAGAAAAGAGAGUCUAAGUGCCAUUCAUAUAGGCCCCCAAUUUGUUACCCUUAGCAUCAGAAAAUGAAAUCAGUAAACACCAAAUGAAAGCAACAACAAAAAAAUUAACUUCAGGAUCUAAAGUUCACAUUUAAAACAGCUUCAAAAGUAACAUGCACAACUGGCAACGAUCUCUUCAGACUACUAAUGUCCAGAUCUGACAAUUAAUAUGCUAAAGGUGGCCAGUAUGCAAGUGGUAACAGAAAACAGAAGGGAAAACCGAAGAAAGUUCAUGAAUUCUCUACCUCUGAGCAAGAGUUAGCUAGCUGAGUAUGUUACCGAAUCUCACUUUGAGGACUAGGAGUGGGAAUCCAGAUUUAAUUCCUAGUUAGUCAUUAACUAUGUGAACUUACUUAGAUUUAACUUCUUUGGGCCUCAGUUUACCUCUAAAAUGAGUACAAUUGUCAAUGAAAUUCACAAACAUUUACCAUGUGGGUAAAACAAAAAGCAUAGCCCUUGCUCCAAAUUCUGACACGUCUAAAUUCUAUGACUGUUUUGGCUAUGACUUUCUCACUCUUAGAAUAACUGGGUUUAUUAGGAAUUACAAUUAGUU